CUGGCAUGAGGUACAAAUUUCAUAAAACUUUGUAUGGAUUGAAACAAUCCCUGAGGGAAUGGUACAAAGUCAUAGACACUUUUCUUAUUUCUCUCGGUUUUAUCAACUCCAUGGCGGAUGGAAAUGUGUAUUAUCUUCACAAGAUCUCUGCUUUUGCCAUUCUCACUCUGUAUGUGGAUGACACCUUAAUUGCAUGCAACAACCUCCCUCUUUUACAACACAUCAAAACUCAACUCCAUGGGUGCUUCUUUCUUUCCAAUCUUAGAAAAGCUCAUCAUUUACUCAGCCUUCAAAUUACGUGGGAUAUCAAUGAAGGUUGUAUCCGAAUUAGUCAAACGUUAUACUUGCAACAAAAACUUGUAGAGUUUGGUUUUCAAAAUGCUCCUCCCGUCUCGACUCCUCGCGUGCCAGGUCUUUCUAUUUCCGCUGCGGACUGUCAAGCGACAUCUUCGCCUCUAACUCUGAUGAUCCCUCUCGAUGCCCUGCUACCCAAGUAAAAGGACAUGUUCUCCUCUCUCAGCGCCCUAUUGUUCUCUCCCGACGCCAUUCUGGUCCAUCCCGGCACCCUACAAGCAUCUCCAAUAGUUCUGCACUCUCCUACCAUUGCGGCUUUGUUGUCAGCGCUUCCAACAGCCAUGCUACUCACCUUCGCCGCCCAGCCGCCCGAUGCUCCUGCCGUCUGUCAGUCCCUGUUUUUCGCAGCUCUGCGGCCCGCCAAUUUUGCCGCUCUCAGCUCCGCUGCUCCCAAUUUGAGGCUUCCAACGUUGGGUCUAUUACACCCCAGGAUUAUAGUGCCGUGACUUCUCCUUUAGGGUCUGCCACUCACAAAGGCUACCAUGUCGCGGCUCCUUCUCUUUGUUCUGCCACACAUCUAAGUCCAAGCGAUUGCCACAUCAUCUCCGACAGCAACCUCUCGUUUCCAUAUGCUAACGCUGUUGGCUUCCUCAAUUGGGCCAGUUUGUGUACUCGGCCCGAUUUGUCCUUCACAAUUAGCCUCCUAUCUCAGUAUAGACAUAAUCCAGGACCGGCCCACAUUACAGCCUGCAAGUACACGUUUCGUUGCAUUUGAGGAACACUCAACUACUACAUUGAAUAUCGACAAAACCCUACUCCACGCCCCUUGUUUGGAUUCAGUGAUACAGAUUGGGCCGGGGAAGUAGAUCAACGCAAAUCUACCUCGAGCUAUUGCUAUAUCUUGUCAAAUGGCAUAGUUAGCUGGGGAUCUUCACGACAAAAAUCCACUGCUUUAUCCAGCACGGAGGCAAAAUAUUUGGUUAUGGCCGGCGCUGCCUUCGAGGUAGUGUGGCUUCAACACCUUCUUCAUGAUUUAUAUCAAGACCUUACCGCUCCGUCAAUAAUUCUAUGUGACAACCAAUCGGCAUUGGCAUUUGUUGACACUACCAAGUUUCACAAUCGCACAAAGCACAUAGACGUCAAAUAUGAUUUCAUUCAACAACUAUCUAUACUCAAGAAACUCUCAUUCCAGUACUGUUUCAUUGCCACAAUGCGAGCUGAUCUUCUCACCAAGGCACUCUCGGGGCCAAAAAUUAUUCAACACUUACCAUACUUAGGAAUUGUUGGAAACUAACCAAGAUUGUCUACGCAUAACGACUUAGCAGGUGUAUUGGAAUGUGCAGAAACAGUUAUAGUCGUCAUUUGUUGACUGUAAUAGAACUAGUUUGCACCGCAUCAUAUCUCCCCGCGAAGGCACCAGUAAGGUCGCCCUCCUCACAGUAUUAUAAUUUGUAAAACACAGAUAUUAUUGAUAAUAAGAGCAUUGUAAAUUAAGUCUUCAUAUUUCUCAUGGUUUGAACAUGGAACGGAGAUUUCUUGUGUCGUAAUGUAAUAAGAAAUCCUUGAGCGAUUGGGGGGAACUCAUUCUCAGUAUCAUAUUUCAUUCUUUCCACCGUGAAUACCAGAACAAUUCUUUCUUCCAGAAUAGUUGUUCUAGUCUUCAGACUACUGAUUGAAACCAAUUGUCGCAUAUGAUAUCUCCCCGCGUGUGGCCUUUGAUUAAAAUACACUAUGCUUGUAUUGAAAAGCAAUACACUAUUAAAGACUCUGCUCUUCAUUUCAUGUGUGAACGACAAAUGUGAAGACCUUGGAGUGGUAUGCGAACGAUAUGAGUAACGAUAAGCAUUAAAUUGUGCGAGCUUUGUACUGGACUAUGACCAAAGGUUUAGAAUCCUGUAAUAUUUUCCAUCCAAAAUCUAAACGAAAUACGCGAGAUCUUUCUUGUGCUUAAUAGAUAUCCUCGCCCGGAUUGUUUUCCUGGGAGUCUCACCACAAAAAUGGGCUCGUUCUCAAGAUCUCUUUGUUUGGUGAAACAAUAACAGCUGAAGAGCUUUUGUACAGCCAAGUGAAUAGCAGCUCUCAUCGACAUCAAAUGUACUAAUCCAGACAUCCGAUGCAAACGACCUUAAGCC